rnacentral:tRNA from 1 species
GCCCAGGUGCUGAAAUUGGUAGACAGGCAUGGUUGAGGGCCAUGUGUCCGUUAGGGCGUGCGGGUUCAAGUCCCGCUCUGGGCA